rnacentral:tRNA from 1 species
GGGGCUGUAGCACAGCUGGGAUUGCGUUUGACUGGCAGUCAACAGGCCCGGGCUGGACUCCCCAGCUCCA